rnacentral:rRNA from 1 species
AUUGAACGCUGGCGGCAUGCCUUACACAUGCAAGCCGAACGGCAGCAUAGGAGCUUGCUCCUGAUGGCGAGUGGCGAACGGGUGAGUAAUAUAUCGGAACGUGCCCUAGAGUGGGGGAUACCUAGUCGAACGAAUAGCUAAUACCGCACACGAUCUACGGAUGAAAGGGGGGGAUCGCAAGACCUCAUGCUCCUGGAGCGGCCGAUAUCUGAUUAGCUAGUUGGUGGAGUAAAAGCCUACCAAGGCAACGAUCAGUAGUUGUUCUGGGACGACGAACAGCCACACUGAGACUGAGAGACGGCCCAGACUGCUAGGGGAGGGAGCAGUGGGGAGUUUUGGACAAGGGUGCAAAACCUGAUCCAGCAAUGCAGCGUGAGUCAAGAAGGCCUUCGGGUUGUAAAACUCUUUUGUCAGGGAAGAAACGGUAGUAGCGAAUAACUACUACUAAUGACGGUAGCUGAAGAAUAAGCACCGGCUAACUACGUGCAAGCAGCCGCGGUAA